UAUGGUGGGACAAGAAUCCAAAAGGAGAGAUAGGAAAGCACAAGCCUGACUGAUUUCUCAAAUGUGCUGAAGAGUGAGCAAAACAUGGUUUUAAAGCAGAGCCUCAGAGUUCCCUGGUGGCUCAGUAGGUUAAGGACCUGGCCUUGUCCACUGAGGUAGUGUGGGUUUGGCCCCUGGCCCAGAAAUUUCCGCAUGCCAUGGGCAUGACCAAAAAGAAAAAAAAUAAUAAUCAUAAAGACAGAGGCUGAACCUUCAUGCUCUUUUGUGAAGAAGGUAUUUCAUCAAGGCUGCUUCCUAAGGAUGUUCAGGUUGUGCACUGCACACCUUCAGGGGCACUGUUUAGUUCACAGCCAGGCCCAUCUGCAAUUUUCUGAAGCCCCGCCGUGGUGACUCGUCCAAAUCCCGUCAGACGUGCUUUUCUUUGUCUGUCAGCACCACGUCUGUUGCCAGGAUUCCUCCUUCUCUCCAUCAGGCAUAAUUUUCAGACUCUGCCUUUCCUGUCAGGAAAAGUUGAAUUCAUCACCUCAGGCCUUGGGAGGAUAUCUUUGGAGGAAAAGCGGUGGGGGAGUGACUUCAUGACAAAAGUAAAUAUGACAGCUCUUUCUUCAUGUGCAGUAAAAAAACAAAAACAAAAACAAACAAACAAAAAACCACUUAUUUUUAAGUAGGUAAGGUAUAGACAUGACACAGAAUUCAAAAAGUCAAAUGUGAGCACAGCAGCGAAACUUCCACAUUCCCGCCCUUUUCCCCCAGGCACCUGGAUCCUCUCAAUGGAAGGAGAGUCUUAAUCUUUCUAGAGGGGGGUCUCUGGAUAAAUUAGCAGAGACGGUCUUCUGAUUUCUGAAUUCAGAUGAAUUUGGAAAGCAGUAUAGGAAAUAUAAACUAAAAUACACUGAAUAUACCAACGUGGUUGGUCCAAGGAGAGCCCUGAGGCUAGCCCACAUAAGGUGUUUGCUUUUGGUUUGCAUUGCUUUAGCAGACAUGUGGGAGUGCCCUGGUGGCUCAGCAGGUGAAGGAUCUGGCAUCGUCCCUGUUGUGGCUCUGGCUACUGCUGUGGCGCGGGUUUGAUC
rnacentral:lncRNA from 1 species